rnacentral:rRNA from 1 species
ACGGGUACGGGGAUUAGGGUUCGAUUCCGGAGAGGGAGCCUGAGAAACGGCUACCACAUCUAAGGAAGGCAGCAGGCGCGCAAAUUACCCAAUCCUAAUACAGGGAGGUAGUGACAAGAAAUAACAAUACAGGACUUUUUGGUUUUGUAAUUGGAAUGAGUUAAGUAUAAACCCCUUUACAAGUAUCAAUUGGAGGGCAAGUCUGGUGCCAGCAGCCGCGGUAAUUCCAGCUCCAAUAGCGUAUAUUAAAGUUGUUGCAGUUAAAAAGCUCGUAGUUGGAUUUCUGUUAAUAAUUUAUAUAAAAUAUUUUGAUGAAUAUUUAUAUAAUAUUAACAUAAUUCAUAUUACUAUAUAUUUUAGUAUAUGAAAUUUUACUUUGAGAAAAUUAGAGUGCUUAAAGCAGGCAUAUGCCUUGAAUACUCCAGCAUGGAAUAAUAUUAAAGAUUUUUAUCUUUCUUAUUGGUUCUAAGAUAAGAAUAAUGAUUAAUAGGGACAGUUGGGGGCAUUUGUAUUUAACAGUCAGAGGUGAAAUUC